rnacentral:rRNA from 1 species
UUGAAAAGAACUUUGAAGAGAGAGUUCAAGAGUACGUGAAACCGUUUAGAGGUAAACGGAUGGGACCGCAAAGUCAACCCGGGAAUUCAACUUGUCGAGUGGUUGUGGGCGUUGGGUUCGGAUCCGUAGGACCGACCUGGCGUCUGGCAGCUGCCGGCAGGCGCACUUUUCCGGGUGAGCGUCACCACCGGUUCGUCGGCGGUCAGAAGCCCGUCUCGAAGGUAGGCACUCUUUCGGGAGUGUUGAUAGCGUGGCGUGGUGUUGGCCCGCUGGUGGACCGAGGCAAUAGCCCCUUCCUGCCCUCGGCUUUGGGCGUGCGUUCGACUCGGGUGGACUGUUCUCAGUGCUCUCGGACUGCGUGCGUUUGGAGACCGGGCAAGCUCGGAGAGGCCCAAGGUGACGAGUCGGUCGGCUCCCCAUCCGACCCGUCUUGAAACACGGACCAAGGAGUCUAACAUGUGCGCAAGUCAUGGGGUUCUACGAAACCUAAAGGCGCAGUGAAGGUGAAGGCUUGCUUUUCGGUAGGCCUAGGUAGGAUCCCGUCCCUUGGGGCGGGCGCACUACCGGCCCGUCUCGUCCGCGCUGUCGGUGAGGCGGAGCAAGAGCGUACACGUUGGGACCCGAAAGAUGGUGAACUAUGCCUGAGUAGGACGAAGCCAGAGGAAACUCUGGUGGAAGUCCGUAGCGAUUCUGACGUGCAAAUCGAUCGUCAAACUUUGGUAUAGGGGCGAAAGACUAAUCGAACCAUCUA